CGUGUAUGGGCAACUCGCCUAUUCGACAUCAGGGCUGUGAAAAAAAAAAGCGUAACGCGGCGUCAUGAACACUACAGCUGCGAACGCGUAGAAGGUGGCGGUGAUGGUGGUGCUCAUUUUUCUUUGGGGGAGAGCGUAGGGCAACACUCCCUCACUCCCCGUGCGCGCCCACACGCACACACACAAAACAGGCGUUGCCUGUUGUCUUCUCACUGCGCUUCUUCUAUCCUCUCGCUGCCUUUUUGUGCACUGUGCGCUCCUCCACACUAUGGAUGGCGAUCUUUUUUCUCGCGCUCUCUCUCUCGCCUCGUUACCGCCCUCUCCGACGGUGUUGUAAGUGCUUGCGCUUGUUUUAGUGCUUCUAGCUGUCUCUGACAUCGUCUCAUCAUCUCUCGUGCCACAAUCGGUGGCUGGCAACUCUACACGACAACUGUGCACACGCCGACGAACCCGCCAUCCUUUACGUAUUUCGCCUUGCGCAAGUGCCUCGACGACCCAACUUUCUCCUCGACACCCUUGUCGGCUCUCCCUCUCCCCCUGAGUCUGUCUUUGCCUCGUGCUCGCCUUCGCGUUAUCGAUGCGCCUCCUUCAUUGGCGUUGGAGGCGCCCUUACUCAGCUUCGCCUUCUCUCUCACCUCUGCCAGGCCCUUUUUGUGCGUUGCUCGCCGGCGGUGCACGGGAGAUGGCGUGGUGCCUGUAGAAGCGCACCCGCACGCUCAUGCGCAGGCUGCAUUCGCCUUCGCUGUAGCCGCGUAUAUCGCCUGCACACUUUGCCCUCUACUUUAGCUCCUCUUCUGGACUCCUGCGUUUAGUUGCUCUUCCCUCCUUUCCAAACUCUAGUGACGUGUGUGGGGGGUGGGGUGGCGCAGGGGUGCAAGGGGCACCUCAGCGUGUGGCAUCUCAGGGUCCAGUGCGUCCCACUCCCUCUGUCUUGGGAAGCUAAGCCGCCGCCCUAUCCCUGCCACAUGCCGAACCCCACUUCUGGUGAUGCCGGGAUCGCGCAUCCACGGGGCAAGGAGCUGAGAGCAACGCACUCCUACGAACGUCCGGGGCCAGGUUCUGGAGGGCGUCUCGCCAGGGUGACCAGCGACCGCAAGCACGCUUGUGCCAUCCGUAUAAUGGGGAAAGGGCCCGCCUAACUGGGAGGUAUCUCACUCCCGACCCUCGCACUGCCUGCUGGUGUGCGAGGAGCCUGCGCCGCCCCGAGGAACGUGCCAGGUAGCCCAGUUGCACGAUGGGAGCGGCUGUGAGGCGACCUGCGGAGCGGCGUGGGUGUGUGGGCAGCGUUUGAGGCAGAGACCGUUCUCCGAUGACUGAGUCGGCGCAUUGUUGCAACGCCGGUGCCUAGCGCUGCUGCGCACCAUGCGAUGGGGGCCUAUGACAGGGCCGGGGCGUGGGGGGGGGAGGGAAGGUCGAGUGGCAUCGGGCUUGACGUUGUGUGCCAGAGAGAAAGCGGACACACGUUGGGAGACCAACCCAAACAAACCCUUUGCCAGCACAGUGCUUAGCUCUCUUUCACCUGCUCUCUUCUCCUGCCCCGCUUGCGCCUUCCCUCUCUAAG
rnacentral:misc_RNA from 1 species